rnacentral:rRNA from 1 species
AUUGAACGCUGGCGGCAGGCUUAACACAUGCAAGUCGAGCGGGGAAAGGUAGCUUGCUACCUGACCUAGCGGCGGACGGGUGAGUAAUGCUUAGGAAUCUGCCUAUUAGUGGGGGACAACAUUCCGAGAGGAAUGCUAAUACCGCAUACGCCCUACGGGGGAAAGCAGGGGAUCUUCGGACCUUGCGCUAAUAGAUGAGCCUAAGUCAGAUUAGCUAGUUGGUGGGGUAAAGGCCUACCAAGGCGACGAUCUGUAGCGGGUCUGAGAGGAUGAUCCGCCACACUGGGACUGAGACACGGCCCAGACUCCUACGGGAGGCAGCAGUGGGGAAUAUUGGACAAUGGGCGAAAGCCUGAUCCAGCCAUGCCGCGUGUGUGAAGAAGGCCUUUUGGUUGUAAAGCACUUUAAGCGAGGAGGAGGCUACUUGGAUUAAUACUCUAGGAUAGUGGACGUUACUCGCAGAAUAAGCACCGGCUAACUCUGUGCCAGCCGCCGCGGUAAGAC